rnacentral:tRNA from 1 species
UGCAUCUUAGUAUAUUUGUAUUUUAAUUUUUGAUAUUUAAGGAGACAGGUGAUUCUGUUAGAUGCAU